UGCUGGCAGCGCUCUUGCGUGAGCGUCAGGCAAAUCAGCCCGCGCGCGUGCGUGGCCAUGAAGUUGAUGGCCUCCGGCGUCACGAAAUCGGCCGCCA
rnacentral:antisense_RNA from 1 species